ACGGGUGCGUAACGCGUGGGAAUCUGCCCUUAGGUUCGGAAUAACAGCUGGAAACGGCUGCUAAUACCGGAUGAUGACGAAAGUCCAAAGAUUUAUUGCCUGAGGAUGAGCCCGCGUUGGAUUAGGUAGUUGGUGGGGUAAAGGCCUACCAAGCCGACGAUCCAUAGCUGGUCUGAGAGGAUGAUCAGCCACACUGGGACUGAGACACGGCCCAGACUCCUACGGGAGGCAGCAGUGGGGAAUAUUGGACAAUGGGCGAAAGCCUGAUCCAGCAAUGCCGCGUGAGUGAUGAAGGCCCUAGGGUUGUAAAGCUCUUUUACCCGGGAAGAUAAUGACUGUACCGGGAGAAUAAGCCCCGGCUAACUCCGUGCCAGCAGCCGCGGUAAUACGGAGGGGGCUAACGUUGUUCGGAAUUACUGGGCGUAAAGCGCACGUAGGCGGCUUUGUAAGUCAGAGGUGAAAGCCUGGAGCUCAACUCCAGAACUGCCUUUGAGACUGCAUCGCUUGAAUCCAGGAGAGGUCAGUGGAAUUCCGAGUGUAGAGGUG
rnacentral:rRNA from 1 species